rnacentral:rRNA from 1 species
GAUGAACGCUGGCGGCGUGCCUAAUACAUGCAAGUCGAGCGAACAGAUGAGAAGCUUGCUUCUCUGAUGUUAGCGGCGGACGGGUGAGUAACACGUGGGUAACCUACCUAUAAGACUGGAAUAACUCCGGGAAACCGGGGCUAAUGCCGGAUAACAUUUAGAACCGCAUGGUUCUAAAGUGAAAGAUGGUUUUGCUAUCACUUAUAGAUGGACCCGCGCCGUAUUAGCUAGUGGGUAAGGUAAUGGCUUACCAAGGCGACGAUACGUAGCCGACCGGAGAGGGUUGUCAGCCACACUGGAACUGAGACACGGACCAGACUCCUACGGGAGGCAGCAGGAGGGACUCUUCCGCAAGGGGCGAAAGCCUGACGGGGCAACGCCGCGUGAGUGAUGAAGGGUUUCGGCUCGUAAAACUCUGUUAUUAGGGAAGAACAAACGUGUAAGUAACUGUGCACGUCUUGACGGUACCUAAUCAGAAAGCCACGGCUAACUACGUGCCAGCCGCCGCCGUAA